UGAAAACUAUACAAGAAGGGUUGAUGUACUCCCUAUGACAUCCAUCAGCGAGGGGAUAUCUAACCCUAAAAAUGCUGGUGGGGUUGAGAAUAAAGAGGGCAUUGAAUCCGAUGCCAGUCCAAUUUGGAAGCCCAGUGCCGAUGGUUCAAAAAUUGUAUUAUUUUCUAAACCAAAGCCAAUUCCAAUUGAAUUAGAAUAUGAAGGUUCAGAAGGUAAAGGUUCAGGCGAAGAUGCCGAAGAGGAUCCAUGGUUCAGGGUAUACUUACCUCUAACUUAAAUGCAUAAUGUGGACCUAGCAAUAAAAGAUGGGUUGGAGUUUACAGAACUCCUACACAGAAGACCUG
rnacentral:lncRNA from 1 species